rnacentral:rRNA from 1 species
GACGAACGCUGGCGGCGUGCUUAACACAUGCAAGUCGAACGGAAAGGCCCUGCUUGCAGGGUACUCGAGUGGCGAACGGGUGAGUAACACGUGGGUGAUCUGCCCUGCACUUCGGGAUAAGCCUGGGAAACUGGGUCUAAUACCGGAUAGGAGCCAUCCUUAGUGUGAUGGUUGGAAAGUUUUUUCGGUGUAGGGUGAGCUCGCGGCCUAUCAGCUUGUUGGUGGGGUAAUGGCCUACCAAGGCGGCGACGGGUAGCCGGCCUGGGAGGGUGGACGGCCAAAUUGGGACUGGAGUACGGCCCAGGCUCCUACGGGAGGGAACAGUGGGGAAUAUUGCAAAAUGGGCGCAAGCCUGAUGCAGCGACGCCGCGUGGGGGAUGACGGGCUUCGGGUUGUAAACUCCUUUCGCUAGGGACGAAGCUUUUUGUGACGGUACCUAGAAAAGAAGCACCGGCUAACUACGUG